UACGUAGGGGGCAAGCGUUAUCCGGAUUUACUGGGUGUUAAGGGGGCGCAGACGGCGAUGCAAGCCAGGAGUGAAAGCCCGGGGCCCAACCCCGGGACUGCUCUUGGAACUGCGUGGCUGGAGUGCGGGAGGGGCAGGCGGAAUUCCUGGUGUAGCGGUGAAACGCGUAGAUAUCAGGAGGAACACCGGUGGCGAAGGCGGCCUGCUGGACUGCAACUGACGUUGAGGCCCGAAAGCGUGGGGAGCAAACAGG
rnacentral:rRNA from 1 species